GCACUCGCACAGAGGCAGGCAGAGGGAUGAGACGCCUAGCAGCCAAGUGGACAGCACUCUGAUGCCAAUUCUCAUCCUGUUUAGAAGUUCCAGGUCCUGGAUUCUGAGGUGCUGAGAACUCGCUGUGGAGCAAGGAAUGCUUGGUCCAGUGGAGGAAGGAGGUGGCCAUUUGAACCGAUGCACGGCUAGCUCUUCUUUGACUCUUUGUUCUUCACCACUAGCAAGGCCUGGCACAGAGAAGACUAAAUAAAUGGUGGUGGAGUGAAAGGAGGACAUAAUGAUUGGGAAGUGUGGCAGGACAUCCAGAAAGCAACUAGGAACAGAGGGCUGGAGCAGGAGACGUGACCACAGAGGGAUAUUUUUGGAAUUCUGCCCUGCUCAUCUGUAAGUCUGUGUGAGUUGCAUUAAACCUGAUGUGGAGAGUGCGUGGGGGUCUCAGAGCUUAAAGGAAAUAUGAAGACAAUGAGCAAGCUCCCACCCACAUUGCCUCUGCACUCCCAGCACUGCUUGCAUGAGCAGGGGACAGACACAUCCCUGGCACAGGGAGGCUGUUCCCACUCGGAGCACAUCUGUUGAAGGAAUGAGGACACCAAGUCUGCCCACACCCUAAGGCCAAACAUCAGUUGAGCAUCCAACACUUACACUACCGAAAGCUGCUGUCCAAGGAAGCAUGAGAGACAGUGGGGAAAAGCACAGCUGCCUCCAUGCAGUGUCCCAGCAGCAAACCAUGUCUGCAGGCUCUAGACCCACCAGUGAUUUUUCUUCUCUUCCUAAUUCAAUGCAAGGUUUCAGCUCCAUCUGAGUGCCUGUGGCACUGAGAAAAUUAAAUGUAGAUUUAAUUAAUCCCAAAUGAUCUUGGCUCACUGCAACCUCCACCUUCCAGGUUCAAGCAAUUCUCCUGCCUCAGCCUCUCAAGUAGCUGUUCAUGCAAAGUGACAUUGAAAAUGGAAAGACCCUAUUCUGGGCAUCAUUUCUGCUGGUCCUAAAAAAGAGUUAUCCAAAUUCCCACUCAAGAGCUCCCCUUCUGGCUCCCUGGGGGAAGCCAGCCCAGGUGAGGGCUCCUUCACUCUCCUGCAACUCUAAAAUGCACUGUGUAAGUUCUUGUGGACAAAUUGCCAUUAGGAACAGCUUCCAGUUGUCUGAAAACACCUGCGAGUAAACAACCCCAUCCCAGUCAAACUGUAUGGCUUACCUUUGGAGGUUUCUGAACUUCUGAGCCCUUUUGCCAUCCUAGCCCCACCUCUAUAGUGCCUAUGACCUUCAGCUCCUCCUCCAAUGAAGAUUCUAGACUGAAAGGUCCAUGAAGAAGGAGCCAUGCCAUGGUUCACUAUCACAGCAUCUAGUACAUCUCCUGGAACAUAGUAGGCCCUUGCUAAGGAUUUGCUAUGUGGAUUCAACACCUCUCUUGUAUAAGAUAUAAAGAUGUAUAGGAGGCCGGGUGUGUUGGCUUACACCUGUAAUCCCAGCACUUUGGGAGCCCAAGGUGGAUGGAUCACCUGAGGUCAGCAGUUUGAGACCAGCCUGGCCAACAUGGUGAGAUCUUGUCUCUACCAAAAAUACAGAAACUAGCUAGGUGUGGUGGUGCGCACCUGUAAUCCCAGCUACUUGAGAGUCUGAGGCAGGAGAAUCGCUUGAACCCGGGAGAUGGAGGUUGCAGUGAACCGAGAUCACGCCAUUGCGCUCCAGCCUGGGCAAGAAGAGUGAAACUCCGUCUCAAAAAAAAGAUGUAUAGGAUACGUUUCCCACCUUGGGACCCAUCCUCCUUCACAGGACACAGUCUGGAGAGGGUGUCCCAGGUCUCUUCCCACCAACAGUCCUUUCUCCGGAUGUGCCAGGGCUGGCCAUUCCCAGCAGUGAGACGCACUCCUGGGUGGCACCAGGGUCAGAAGAGCAUGGGUCUAGCCAUGGUGGCUCCUUUAGCCCUCCACUCAGGACCUUCCUCCAAGCCUACAAAUAAUGCAGGCUGGCCUCCCCCAUUCUCGACCCUCAUUUUCCCCCAUCAGCUCAGCACUCCCUGUUCCCUCUAGGAUGCUUCCAGGAAUAUACAGCACCGUUUCAGAGAGGAUUGAAUGGCAUGGCUUCUUUAGCAACCUAGAACACUUAAGCCAGCCAAAUUCCUGCUUUAUUUCACACAACCAGACAGAGUCGACAACCACACAAAUAACUAAGAAUUAUGAAGAUCCAUUGUACAAUAUCGACUGAACACCUCCUAUGGCCGGCUGCUGUCCUGGGCACUUCAGACACAGCAUGAAGGAAACAGACAGAAGACCUUCCCCUUAGAGAGCUUGUAUCUGGGGUAGGGAGGAUGCUAAGCAAAUAAACACAUCAGUAUCAGUCAGGGGUCUCCAGACAAACAGAGCCAGGAGUUAGAUUAGCUCUAAAUCUAGAUGACAUAGAUGUGUGUAUGUGUACAUAUUACAUACCUGUAUAAAGGAAUUUAUCUCAGGAAUUGGCUCAUACAGUUGUGAAGGCUGGCAAGUCUGAGAUCUGUGGAGCGGGCUAGCAGGCUGGAAACUCAUGUAGGAAUUGAUGCUGCAGUCCUGGGGCAGAAUUUCUUCUUUCAUAGGGAAACUUCAGUUUUGCUCUUCAAACCUCUCCACUGAUUAGAUGAGGCCCACCAAGCUAUCAAGGGUAAUCUCCUUUACUUAAAGACAGCUGAUCGUAAGUGCUUACCACAUCUAUAAAAUACAUUCACAGCAACACUAGGUUAGCGUUUGCUUCAAUAACUGGGUCUUAUAGCUUAGCCAAGUUUGACACAUAAAACCAAGCAUGCCAAAUGCAUGCCCAAUGUGUUGGGUAGUGAUAAGUAAGUACAAUGGGGGAAAAGAAAGCAGGUGGAGAGGGACAGGGAGCCCCAGGCAGUGGGGCACAGGAGACCUACCAUGUGAGAUAUAAUACAUCGUUCAAUACAAACUUGAAUGAAAAAUAAAUGAACAUACCGAGGCACUGCAUUCAAAAAGCACAACAAAAUCCUCACUUAGUGACAGAUCUGCUUAAUCAUAACUCUGCAGCACUGGAAUUGAGGACAGGAGAGAGGCCAUUCGCAGAGCUGUAAUUAAUAUCAGCACAGCCAAAGCAAGAAGCAAGCGUUUAGUCUCCGGUCUUGAUGGAUCUUCAGAAACAGAUCCCUGUCUACAACAGCCUCCUGGCUGAAUUCCUGCUUCCACGCUCGCCCCUCCCGCCACUCCUCUGCUCCCACCCCUGACAGUGGUCACAGGUGCCUGGCCUCUUCUCCCCGCCGCCCCCCUUCACUUCCCUGCACCGCCCCCUCCCACUGCAGCUGCAGUCCCGGUAGCUUCUUGCUGGUUCCCCAGCACUCCUUCUCGCUUCCGCCCCGGGCCUUUGCUGCUCCUCCUCCACAUCCUGGAAGGGUCUCCUCCCAGCCAUGUGCCUGGCUCUCCCCGCACAUCCUCCUCAGAAAGGCCAGCCUUGACCACCCCAUAAAAUAACACCCUCCUCAUCACUCUCUGCCUCCUUAGCCCAUCUUCUUGGUCUUCAUAGCGUGUAUGUUAAAUAUCUGUUUCUCUGUUGAUUGUCUUCUCUCAUUCUGUUUUUUUAAAUUGUAGUAAAAUAAUAUAAAAUUUACCAUUUUCAAUUGCACAAUUCAGUGACAUUUAGCACAUUCCCAGUGUUAGACAACCAUCACCACUACCUAGUUCCAGAACAUUUUCGCCACCCCAAAGGAAACCCAUACCCAUUAAGCAGCCACUCCCCAUUUCUCCCUCCUCCAAGCCCUGACAAUCUGUCUCUGUCUCUGUCUUCUGUCUCUGCGGCUUUGCCUCUUCUGGGUAUAUUACAUGAAAGGAAUCAUACAGCAUGUGGCCUUUUCUGGCUGACUUCUUUCGUGCAGCAUGAUGUCUUUGAGGUUGGUCCGUGCUGUAGCGUGGGGCAGUACUUCAUUCCAUCUACGGCGGAAGAGCGUUCCAUUGUGCGGGUGUGCCAUGUUUGUUUCUCCAUUCAUCCACUGAUGGACAUUUGGGUUCUCUGCACCUUCUGCCAUUGUGAAUGAUGCCACAGUGAACAUACAUGUGUGGUGUUUGUUUGAAGGGGACUCUGUCUCCAUCAUUUUGUGUCCCUGGCCUGUGAACAGACCUGCAGAUUAAACUGUGGACAGCUUAAUCUUCAGGCAAAUAAAUAAAAGGCAAAGUUUGGCAUCUAAUUUAAUUUUCC